AUCCCAGGAUAGCUCAGUUGGUUACAGUAUGGUGCUGAUAAUGCCAAGGCUGCAGGUUCGAUCCCUGUGUGGGACA